rnacentral:lncRNA from 10 species
CUUCCAUCCCACCCACAUAAGGCUCUAUAUGGCCUAUGAUUGUUUGACUCAGUUGUUGUAGAAAUAAUUACAACAAAAUAUCACUCACAUCUGAAGAAUCAAAAGGGCUGAGAAGAUGGAAACAGGCACAAGUGGUGGGUAACUGUAGUGUGGUGGAACAAGCACUAAACUGAGGGUCAGAAAAACUGGGUCACAUCCAAGUUCUGCUACUUCUCAGCUGUGUGACCGAAGACAAAUCAUUCAACUUCCUAAUUUCAGCAACUAUUAUAACUAUUGUUAACACUGGUUGAGGCCUUACUGUG